rnacentral:rRNA from 1 species
UACAGAGGUCCCAAGCGUUGUUCGGAUUCACUGGGCGUAAAGGGUGCGUAGGCGGUCGGGUAAGUCUGAUGUGAAAUCUCACAGCUUAACUGUGAAACUGCAUUGGAUACUAUCCGGCUCGAGGAAUGGAGGGGAGACUGGAAUACUUGGUGUAGCAGUGAAAUGCGUAGAUAUCAAGUGGAACACCAGUGGCGAAGGCGAGUCUCUGGACAUUUCCUGACGCUGAGGCACGAAAGCCAGGGGAGCAA